rnacentral:rRNA from 1 species
GUGGGGAAUAUUGCACAAUGGGCGCAAGCCUGAUGCAGCCAUGCCGCGUGUAUGAAGAAGGCCUUCGGGUUGUAAAGUACUUUCAGCGAGGAGGAAGGCAUUAAGGUUAAUAACCUUGGUGAUUGACGUUACUCGCAGAAGAAGCACCGGCUAACUCCGUGCCAGCAGCCGCGGUAAUACGGAGGGUGCAAGCGUUAAUCGGAAUUACUGGGCGUAAAGCGCACGCAGGCGGUCUGUUAAGUCAGAUGUGAAAUCCCCGGGCUCAACCUGGGAACUGCAUUUGAAACUGGCAGGCUUGAGUCUUGUAGAGGGGGGUAGAAUUCCAGGUGUAGCGGUGAAAUGCGUAGAGAUCUGGAGGAAUACCGGUGGCGAAGGCGGCCCCCUGGACAAAGACUGACGCUCAGGUGCGAAAGCGUGGGGAGCAAACAGGAUUAGAUACCCCAGUAGUCC